rnacentral:rRNA from 1 species
UACGUAGGGUGCAAGCGUUAAUCGGAAUUACUGGGCGUAAAGCGUGCGCAGGCGGCUAUGCAAGACAGAUGUGAAAUCCCCGGGCUUAACCUGGGAACUGCAUUUGUGACUGCAUAGCUAGAGUACGGUAGAGGGGGAUGGAAUUCCGCGUGUAGCAGUGAAAUGCGUAGAUAUGCGGAGGAACACCGAUGGCGAAGGCAAUCCCCUGGACCUGUACUGACGCUCAUGCACGAAAGCGUGGGGAGCAAACAGG